UCUAUCGGGGGCGUUGAAGGUUCCCCAACGGUUCGCGCCAAGGGGAUGAAAAGGGAACACGGUGAGGCGUACCCAACAGGGACCGAUGCCGUGGCUGCCCCCGCAACUGUAAGCGGAGAGCCGCAUCCGAACUGCCACUGACCGCAAGGUUGGGAAGGCCGGAUGCGGCGGCGACCCGCGAGCCAGGAGACCUGCCCUCGACAUUCAUUUCAA
rnacentral:ncRNA from 1 species